rnacentral:lncRNA from 1 species
UCAAAAGCGGGAAAACAAAAGCCAGACAGAGAGAGCUGAAUGACUUUUAUUAGCCUUGGCCACCUUCCUUGUUUAUGUUACCUGACAUGUUCUGCAGGCACUUGAGUUUGUAGCUCCCAGAACACAGCAAUGCCAAAAAAAAAAAAACUUUAAAAAAUGAAUUUCUGCCUCUGAGAACUUGCAGGAGUGAGGAUGAAACUUGACAAGCUUCGGAGCCAGCAGAGGGGAGGAAGGAACAACAUAUUCUUACGGAAUCUCAGAAUGAAACAGCAGUCGUCUCUUUCUGCCUGGAAUCCACCGUCCUCUCUUCUGACCACAACACUUUGACUUUCUUCUCGGAAACCACAAUUCCUUUGCUGGUCCUCCUGCUUAAGCAAUGCAGACCCCAACCCUUAACACCGAAGAAGCACCUGUUAAGGCCUAACAACAAGAGCCACAGUGAUUGGCCAGCCAGAGGCAUGUGAUCUUCUUGGGCCAAUGAGACACACUUGACUAAGGCAUAACAAAAGCCUCAGUGAUUGGCCAGCUAGAGGCACGUGAUCUGCUUGAGUCAAUAAGAGCCCGCCUUUGAACUACUCCAGUUAAUGGAGUAGAAGGCCUUUAAUUGUACUACUUCA